GGAGGGUCCUUGAGAGGACACAGGGAUGAAAUGGUGACUCUGUCCAGCACCCUUGGACAGAGAAGCCUAUGCCGGAGCCACCUCUCACUACAGUAUAUUCUUCUCUGUUCUCAUUGAGGAAUCCAACGCAUUCCCAGAGACCAAAUGAGGACACAGUCAAGAGUGGAGGAAUUAAGUUUUGCUGCUGCUUGCUGUGUUCCCAGCCAGGAGCCAGCCCCUGCCUUCAAGGAACUGAAUGGCUGGGAGUAUGGGGAGUCCUACAAAGGUCCUGAGCUUGGUGCUGAGGACGCCUGGAGGAAUCACAGAGCCCAUCUGGAAACAGCCCAUCUCCUGGCUGGGUUGGAUCAGCUUCUGGUAGGUCUCGUGCCCUGGCAGCUAUCUCAGGCCUGUCUCCCCUUCCCAGGGGGCCUUAGCCUAGCCUUUUGCAUCCUAGAGCCCACCAUGUGGCCCACUAUGCUCACGCAGCUCCAGGAGAAAAUUCUCCUCUGCCACCCCCAGAACAUGGUUUCUCCGUCCCUGGCUCAAACCCUGAAUCUUGCUUGGAACAAAUGCAAUGAGAGUGUCCAGCACUGAGAAGGCCUUUAAGACCCAUUGCCCCCCUGUUCUGGAUGCCCA
ensembl:lincRNA